AUACUGAGGGUGCAAGAGUUAAUCGGAAUUACUGGGCGUAAAGCGCGCGUAGGCGGUUUAUUAAGUCAGAUGUGAAAGCCCCGGGCUCAACCUGGGAACUGCAUUUGAAACUGGUGAACUAGAGUUUGGUAGAGGGUGGCGGAAUUCCAGGUGUAGCGGUGAAAUGCGUAGAUAUCUGGAAGAACACCAGUGGCGAAGGCGGCCACCUGGACCAAAACUGACGCUGAGGUGCGAAAGCGUGGGGAGCAAACAGGAUUAGAAACCCUAGUAGUCC
rnacentral:rRNA from 1 species